UACGUAGGGGGCAAGCGUUGUCCGGAUUUAUUGGGCGUAAAAGGCUUGUAGGUGGCCACGCCAAGUCGGAUGUGAAAUCUCCCGGCUCGACUGGGAGGGGUCAUUCGAUACUGGCGGGCUCGAGGCCGGUAGGGGGAAGUGGAAUUCCCGGUGUAGUGGUGGAAUGCGUAGAUAUCGGGAGGAACACCAGUGGCGAAGGCGGCUUCCUGGACCGGUUCUGACACUGAGGAGCGAAAGCGUGGGGAGCGAUCCGG
rnacentral:rRNA from 1 species